rnacentral:rRNA from 1 species
GACGAACGCUGGCGGCGUGCCUAACACAUGCAAGUCGAACGGAGAUACGAUUUCGGUUGUAUCUUAGUGGCGAACGGGUGAGAAACGCGUGAGCAACCUGACUCUUAGAGGGGGAUAACAGUUGGAAACGGCUGCUAAUACCGGAUACGCUCAAAAUGAACUUUUUGAGGAAAGAUGGCCUCUGCUUGCAUGCUAUCGCAUAAGGAUGAGUCCGCGUCCCAUUAGCUUGUUGGCGGGGUAACGGCCCACCAAGGCAUCGAUGGGUAGCCGAUUUGAGAGGAUGAUCGGCCGCACUGGAACUGAAACACGGUCCAGACUCCUACGGGAGGCAGCAGUGGGGAAUAUUGCGCAAUGGGCGAAAGCCUGACGCAGCGACGCCGCGUGAGGGAUGAAGGUUUUCGGAUCGUAAACCUCUGUCAGAAGGGAAGAAACUACGUUGUGCUAAUCAGCAGCGUACUGACGGUACCUUCAAAGGAAGCACCGGCUAACUCCGUGCCAGCAGCCGCAGUAA